rnacentral:rRNA from 1 species
GAGUGGCGAAAGGGUGAGUAACGCGUGAGCAAUCUACCUCUAAGUUCGGAAUAACCCCGCGAAAGUGGAGCUAAUACCGGAUGUGGUACCUCGUCGCAUGGCGAGGCUAUUAAAGGUGGGGAUCCUUCGGGACCUGCUGCUUGGAGAGGAGCUCGCGUCCCAUCAGCCUGUUGGUAGGGUAACGGCCUACCAAGGCAUACGGGUAGCCGGCCUGAGAGGGUGACCGGCCACACUGGGACUGAGACACUGCCCAGACUCCUACGGGAGGCUGCAGUCGAGAAUCAUUGUCAAUGCGCGAAAGCAUGAACAUUGCGACGCCGCGUGCAGGAUGACGGCCUUCGGGUUGUAAACUGCUGUCAUGAGGGAACAAAGCUUGCGCGUGAACAGCGCGGGAGUUUGAUUGUACCUCAAGAGGAAGCCACGGCUAACUCUGUGCCAGCAGCCGCGGUAAUACAGAGGUGGCGAGCGUUGUUCGGAAUCACUGGGCGUAAAGGGUGCGUAGGCGGUCCGGUAUGUCGGAUGUGAAAUAUUGCGGCUCAACCGCGAAAGGUCAUUCGAAACUGCCGAACUGGAGUACUGGAGAGGAGAGCGGAAUUCUUGGUGUAGCGGUGAAAUGCGUAGAUAUCAAGAAGAACGCCGGUGGCGAAGGCGGCUCUCUGGACAGAUACUGACGCUGAGGCACGAAAGCUGGGGGAGCAAACAGGAUUAGAUACCCUGGUAGUCCCAGCCGUAAACGUUGUGCACUUGGUGUAGGAGGAAUUAUCCCCUUCUGUGCCGGAGUUAACGCGUUAAGUGCACCGCCUGGGGAGUACGGCCGCAAGGCUAAAACUCAGAGGAAUUGACGGGGGCCCGCACAAGCGGUGGAGCAUGUGGCUUAAUUCGAUGCAACGCGAAGAACCUUACCUGGGCUUGACAUGGAGAGGCUUCGGCCUAAACCGGUGAAAGUCGGUUGAACUCACACAGGUGCUGCAUGGCUGUCGUCAGCUCGUGCCGUGAGGUGUUGGGUUAAGUCCCGCAACGAGCGCAACCCCUGUCGUUAGUUGCCACUCCCGCAGAAAUGCGGGAAGCACUCUAGCGAGACUGCCUGUGACAAGCAGGAGGAAGGUGGGGAUGACGUCAAGUCAGUAUGGUCCUUAUGCCCAGGGCUGCACACGUGCUACAAUGGGCGGUACAAAAGGAAGCGAAGCCGCGAGGUGGAGCAAAUCCUCAAAGCCGUCCUCAGUUCGGAUCGCAGUCUGCAACCCGACUGCGUGAAGCUGGAAUCGCUAGUAAAGGCGUAUCAGCUACGACGCCUUGUUCGGUUCCCGGCCCUUGUACACACCGCCCGUCACAUCAUGAAAGCCGAUUGCACCCGAAGUCGCCGGGCUAACCUUUACUGGAGGCAGGCGCCGAAGGUGUGAUUG